rnacentral:rRNA from 1 species
UACAGAGGGGGCAAGCGUUGUUCGGAAUUACUGGGCGUAAAGGGCGCGUAGGCGGCCUUCUAAGUCAGACGUGAAAUCCCCGGGCUCAACCCGGGAACUGCGUCUGAGACUGAAAGGCUCGAAUCCGGGAGAGGGAUGUGGAAUUCCAGGUGUAGCGGUGAAAUGCGUAGAUAUCUGGAGGAACACCGGUGGCGAAGGCGGCAUCCUGGACCGGUAUUGACGCUGAGGCGCGAAAGCCAGGGGAGCAAAC